AAUCUUCUUCACCGUGCAACCUACACCUUUGCUACCUACCUCUACACGCAAUCGCCUCAAUCUAUAUAUAAUAGCAAACCCACUUUUGUCUCCGGUGAAGUCAGCAUUUUUUUAUAAGAAAAUAAAAGUUAAAUCGAACGGUAGAAAUGGCUUCCUUACACAAUCCAAUGGUCAAAUUUUCAUUUCAUUUAAAUGUAUGACAUCAUCAAUUACAAAUCUAAACAGUGUGUCUUAAAGUUUCAUUUGUGAAUCAUUGCUUCUCAAAAGUCACAACCCUUUACUUUUUUAAAUACCAAAAGACACAACCCCUUCGAAAGAAAAUUUCUUAACGGAUUAUAUAUUUCUCUUUAUCACUUUCAUUUGCCUUUUUUUCUUACUUCCAUUUAUUUUUAAUGUCCUACAGAUUACGGUGGAAUAUUUUGGUUAUGGAAACAACUCUCUCUCUCUCCCCUAAUAUUUCCUUGUCUAUUUUCACCACCACCACGCUCUCAAUUUUUCUCUUGCCAUCUCUCCUUUUAAGUUAAUCCUCAUAGUAGUUUCGUUUGUAAAAAUCUCUACAAUGCUUGCUUUUGCUUCCUUCUCGUAGUUUCGUUUGUAAACGUCACUUCUCUAAGUUUUGUGUAGAUCUCAAAUUGCAGGAGUUGAUCUACCUAAUUGUUACUGUAUAAACCUUAACUAUAGAUUAGUCGGGAUCUAAUUGUAGUUGAUCGCCGCCCUAAUUUCAGUGGCCUUUUAAAGCGCACACCCUCAGAUUCAGCCCUGAUAUAACUGCCCACCAUUAAUUUUAUUUUGUUUUUGUCUCCUUUCAGUCCCUUUAGCUUUUUUUUAGAUGUCAGAUUAAACAGAGCUUCUUCUCCUUGCAGGUUCCCUGAUUAGGACUUGUGUCUAACAAUGGCGGCGUCAGAAGAAAAUAACGCAUUAUUUCCUAAUUUCAUUUUGACGAUCAUGGCUAUUCCGUUGGUGCCUUUUAGUGUGCUGUCUCAAAGAAACAAAGGACUAAUCAUUGUCAGAGUCUCUCGAGUGUGACCGCUCAGGGAAAUAUAAGAGUCCUUAUUUGAAAAGAUUUGAUGGAAAAUCGUGAGAGAAUAUGAUAGGGAGUUAGGAUGCUCAACACGAAAUUCUUUUCGUCAAUGAAAAAGAAGAUAAUCCGAAAGACGUUAAGAAGAUAACGACUUCUUAACGACAAGAAGAUAUUUGUUGUUAGUGUAGCCCUACGUUUAUAUUCUCUGUAUUUUUCUUGUUAAAUUUCUGUAUCAUAUGAUUAUAAUUCAAGGCAUGGGGUUCGUCUUUUUAA